AGGGAAUCUUCCACAAUGGACGCAAGUCUGAUGGAGCAACGCCGCGUGAGUGAAGAAGGCUUUCGGGUCGUAAAACUCUGUUAUUGAAGAAGAACGUGCGUGACAGUAACUGGUCAUGCAGUGACGGUAUUCAAUCAGAAAGUCACGGCUAACUACGUGCCAGCAGCCGCGGUAAUACGUAGGUGGCAAGCGUUGUCCGGAUUUAUUGGGCGUAAAGCGAGUGCAGGCGGUCUUUUAAGUCUGAUGUGAAAGCCUUCGGCUUAACCGAAGAAGGGCAUCGGAAACUGGGAGACUUGAGUGCAGAAGAGGAGAGUGGAACUCCAUGUGUAGCGGUGAAAUGCGUAGAUAUAUGGAAGAACACCAGUGGCGAAGGCGGCUCUCUGGUCUGUAACUGACGCUGAGGCUCGAAAGCGUGGGUAGCAAACAGGAUUAGAUACCCU
rnacentral:rRNA from 1 species